UUCUAUCCUAUUUGGAAUGAGAUUUGGUGUAUCAAUUAUCUUUGGAUUGCAAGGAAUCAUAAUGCCAUUAUUAUGGGAAGAUUCAUUAGAGGUAAGUCCAUAUAAAUACAAGGCUAAGGUCCCAGAUCACAUUCACAACACACAAAAACUUAUAUAAAUGCCCCAUUAGUUUAAGUAUAAAGGAGUGUUGAGUGUGCAUAAGACUUUGGUUUAUUAACAUUUUAUUCCACAAGAUUCCAAUAUGAUUUGCGAUGCAGGAGAAGUCCGUACAUGAUUGAGCCUAUUCCACACGAUUUUGUCAAGAUGAUUCAUCUUUACCAUCUAUAAAUUCUUUUAGGUUAGUGUUUUUAGCUGUUUAUGAAAUAUAUAAAGUUUAACGCAGGCAAGACUGCUGUGGAAAAAACAACUCCACUGGCAGAGAAAGCCAAAGACGUUGCGGUUUCUGCAGGUCAGACCACUCUGCAUUACAUGGAAGAAAGGGCGGUGAAGGCUAAGGACAUGACCUUGGAGGGCGGGAAGACUACGGCGACAUAUGCAAGUGAUGUGGCAAUGAAGGCCAAGGACAUAACUUAGGAGAGUGGGAAGACUGCGGCGGCGUGUGCAGGUGAUGUGGCAGUGGACUUAAAGGACAAGGUGACUGUGGUCGGUUGGACUACAGUGCAGUACACCACUGAAGCAGCAGUGGAAGAGACUAUAAAGACGGCGAAGGUUGUCAUGGGGGCGGCUGAAGAUGCGAGGCAUAAAGUUGUGGAUAUUGUUUCGAAGCCUAUGGGUAUGGCUAAAGAUGCCGCUGUGGUGGCAGGGGAGAAGGCUGGAGUACACUGCCAGGAAGAAGGAGGACGCACAGAAAGAAAAGGAGGCCAAAAGAUCGGCAAUUAAGCAAAAUAAGCUGCAGGGUUACCAGGGUGGACAGGAUAGCAUAAUCGAUUGGAGGGCAAAUGGGAGGAAAAAGAGGGAAGGGAGGAAAGUUGGAUGAAGUCGGCCGUGGCCGUGGCGGAGGAACCAAUGAGGUGUACGUGAGGAGCAUGGACAGCUCUCAAGUGGGAGAGGUUGGUGUGGGGAUGCUGGGAGCAGUCACGGAAACUUCUACUUGAGAUUGGUCAGACGAUAAAAGACAUGCUCAUCGGCGGAGCUGAGUGGCGGCCAGGAAUAAGAAGUGGAAGUCGUCGUCGGCGGAUGAGCCCAAACAGAGAAAUACAAAAGAGUGCCCAAUGGAUUAGGGCCCACUCAACCAGCCUAGUACGUCCAACAACAGCAGUACAACAUGAAGGUGCGAGUCGCGUGAACCUCUGGUCCUAAUAUGCGUGAGAGAUCCUAAAGUGGGACCAUCAACCCACUUGGCUGGCCCUAACAAGUUGUUAGUUGUCACACCCUGAUCACGGUUAAGUUCAGUAUUAUCUU